ACGGAACAAAGCUUUCUUGUGGAGCCGUUACAGUGAGGAAAUGCGAGUUUUUUUUUACGGUGCGAGGGGCAUCUUCGGCGUGUUGUUUAUUCCGCAGGGUUCUGCCUCACCAGGUAGAACGACUUCUGAAGUUAGAUUGCUUCACGUUACAGGUGGUGCUGCAGAGCGGAGUUUCAGGCAGCUGAGGACUCUGAGUGGCCCUUCAGCAACGUGACACUGAGUGACUGUGGGGAAAAAACUGCACGGAUGCAAAAUGAUCUUAGCAUGGGCUGAAGUGAAUAGCAGUAUGAAUGAACCUGGCUUGAAUGCUGAGAAGGACAAGGUGAUGCAGCACACUGCGAUUUUGUAUGAGGAUCAGCUGAACAGUGAGUUUGUACAAAUUGAUAACCAUGUGGUAUACUCACUCUGCUCAAGGUGAUCUUUAAAUUGAACAUUGAUGAUGCAGCUGGGUCCGCUGUGUAUACAGAAAACUGCCCACUCAUUACAUGUCACCAGAAACAGGCUGCUAUCUGGUGACCAAUGGUUUUUGAAUUUGGAGCUGUGAUGCCCUUGGAUGCACCGACAUAGUAAAACAUCUGUCUACUCAAGAGCACCAACUCCUACUGUCUUAAGCACAACACAAACACAACAAAGCACGAUUCAUGUCACCUGAGCAGUCAUUCAUAGCUACAUGCUACAUGCGAUCGCUGCUCAGCAGUUCAGUCAUGCAUGGGGCCAAGGGGCAGAUUUUGGUUUCAUGUGCAGCAGAGUCAGCAGAGGUGAUCUUAUAAACUUACAUGUGUGAUUCUUAAAGGGAAAGUCAGGAUCUGCAGAUGAAUUUAAAUUACAACAAGACGUAACUAAACAGUGCAUACUCUUGAACAACUUCACACAGAGACGAAUGUUAAGAGAAUCGUAGCAUUCUUGUUCUGUCAUAAUUGAUUCCUAUGUGUAAUGUGGGUAUAUUUGGAUACUACAACUGGCUGGCUACAGAAAUGAAUAAAGUUAAAAAAAAAAUUCAAAUUUCAUUCCAUAUAUGGC
rnacentral:lncRNA from 1 species